rnacentral:rRNA from 1 species
GUGAACGCUGGCGGUAGGCCUAACACAUGCAAGUCGAACGGCAGCACAGUAAGAGCUUGCUCUUACGGGUGGCGAGUGGCGGACGGGUGAGGAAUACAUCGGAAUCUACUUUUUCGUGGGGGAUAACGUAGGGAAACUUACGCUAAUACCGCAUACGACCUACGGGUGAAAGCAGGGGAUCUUCGGACCUUGCGCGUUUGAAUGAGCCGAUGUCGGAUUAGCUAGUUGGCGGGGUAAAGGCCCACCAAGGCGACGAUCCGUAGCUGGUCUGAGAGGAUGAUCAGCCACACUGGAACUGAGACACGGUCCAGACUCCUACGGGAGGCAGCAGUGGGGAAUAUUGGACAAUGGGCGCAAGCCUGAUCCAGCCAUACCGCGUGGGUGAAGAAGGCCUUCGGGUUGUAAAGCCCUUUUGUUGGGAAAGAAAAGCAGCAGGUUAAUACCCCGCUGUUCUGACGGUACCCAAAGAAUAAGCACCGGCUAACUUCGU